CCUGGGCGCUGUGGUGCGUGCCUGUAGUCCCAGCUACUCAGGAGGCUGAGGCUGGAGGAUCGCUUGAGUCCAGGAGUUCUGGGCUGUAGUGCGCUAUAGCGAUCGGGUGUCCGCAUUAAGUUCGGCAUCAAUAUGGUGACCUCCCGGGAGCGGGGGACCACCAGGUUGCCUAAGGAGGGGUGAACUGGCCCAGGUCGGAGAGUGCCUAUGAUUGAGAUCAUCCAGGGACAGUGUGAUGUGCAACUGAUAAAAGGGCUGAAGUUAAAGCCUCACUAACAUUUGAGGUGGAAGCCUUGA
rfam:Homo sapiens chromosome 8, GRCh38 reference primary assembly.